rnacentral:rRNA from 1 species
AACGAACGCUGGCGGCAUGCCUAACACAUGCAAGUCGAACGAGACCUUCGGGUCUAGUGGCGCACGGUUGCGUAACGCGUGGGAACCUGCCCUUAGGUUCGGAAUAACUCCCCGAAAGGGGUGCUAAUACCGGAUAAUGUCUUCGAACCAAAGAUUUAUCGACUUUGGAUGGGCCCGAGUUGGAUUAGAUAGUUGGUAGGGUAAAAGCAUACCAAGGCGACGAUCCAUAACUGGUCUGAGAGGAUGAUCAGCCACACUGGGACUGAGACACGGCCCAGAAUCCUACGGGAGGGAGGAGUGGGGAAUAUUGGAAAAUGGGCGAAAGCAUGAUCCAGCAAUGCUGCGUGAGUGAUGAAGGUCUUAGGGUUGUAAAGCUCUUUUACCCGGGAUGAUCAUGACAGUACCGGGAGAAUAAGCUCCGGCUAACUACGUG